ACCCAAAUAGCUGAGUUGGGAGAGCGUUAGACUAUAGAUCGAAAGGUCCCUGGUUCGAUCCCGGGAUUCGGCA
rnacentral:tRNA from 1 species